rnacentral:lncRNA from 1 species
CCAAAGAUUUGGUUUCCAAUUGCACUGAGCAGAGUCCCAAUUAUUCAUCGCCUUCUGGUGCAUCCUUUGAUCCGUUCUGCUACAGAUCUGCUCGGCAAGAUCUCAAUCCCCAACCUUCUAGAAGCACUGAUCAUCUACCAUUUGAGUUGUCUGAGCUCACUACGAGUGAAACCUCCAACGCUUUCAAGGCUAACAAUUCUGUGCAGUCCAAGUCAAAGAAGAAAGAUUCAGGUUCAAGCUCCACCUCAGGCUCACAGAAGAAACGAAAUGUAAAAGAAAAGACAACCCCUGAGAAGAAGACGAGGAUCAGGAAACCACGACCAGUGUUUACCACUGCUGAGAAGCGCUCAGACAAAUACCGGCGCGUACCCUUGGACCAGCUGGUACCACCGCCACGCUCUCCUCAUAAUCUCUUGCAGGAGAAGUACGCCUCUGACCCGUGGAAGGUUAUGCUCAUCUGCAUGUUCCUCAACUUAACACAGGGUAUACAGGUAAGCUCCUAGAUUGUUUGAUUAAUUGUCUUCCCUCAUGAACUUUUGGAAACAAAACCAUUGAACUGAAUUCCUGCCUACUAAUUUGACCGAUGAGAGUUCUGAUAGCUAUGAAAGCAAAAUAAACUUGCAUGUGUUUCUGUAAAAGUGAUUGAAUAAUCUUAGUGAUCGUUCUUUGUUCCCACUUAUUUCAUAUAUAAAAUUGGCCAAUCAUGCCGUUUGUCACUAUUUGUAAGUCCAGAGGAUAACCAAAUUGGAAUUGUCAGAUGCAUUUUAUAGUUUAUAUAUACAAGGAGAACUGUUGUUUCGUUUCGAUGGAUCUUUGGAGAACCAUGUUGCUGCACAGGCAAAUUUACCUGUUGCAUGUUGUAUGUUCCUAUUUAUUUAUCGUGCUUGUCUUGUGUUGUGUAAGUGUAGCGCUGAACUUAGAUUAGUAUUCCAUUUGUUUUAAGAAAUAGUUCCCUGACCGUCAAUACCAUUUUCAAGUUUAAAUACAAGAAUACAAUCCCCUCUGUUAACUAAUGUAGGUCAAGAGGAUGUUGGAGGGCUUCUUUGAACGCUAUCCUGACCCUUGGUCUGCAAUUAACGCUGAUCCUGACAAGAUGGCGGAGUAUCUAUCUCCUCUAGGGUUGCAGCAUGUGAAGACACGCAAUAUCAAGAAAUUGUCCAAGCAGUAUGUUGGAAAUGAAUGGACCCAUAUUACGCAGCUUUGUGGCGUCGGCAAGUGAGUGCUGCCCUCUCAAUUCAUUUGUUGGAUAUGGAGUAUUUGUCAAUGGUGUUUCUUUUUCAGUCUGAUUAGUAACUAGAAGUUAUUCUUACUGCAGGUACGCAGCUGAUGCUUAUGCAAUAUUUUGUGCGGGUAGGGCGAGGGAGGUGGUACCUGAUGAUCACAAGUUAGUUGACUACUGGAACUAUGUCUGCUUUGAGUUGCCCAUGACGCAGGUAGUAUUCUCGACACAUACAUUUUAAUUAAUUGUUCUGAGCUUACAUUUUACAAUUUCUGAGGUCAUGGGUUCAAGUCCUGGAAACAGCCUCUUACAGAAAUGUAGGGAAAGGCUGCGUACUAUAGACCCAAAGUGGUCGGACCCUUCCCUGGACCCUGCGCAAGCGGGAGCUACAUGCACCAGGUUGCCCUUUUUUUUAUGGCUUUGCGUGAUGCUAAUCAUGAGCUUAAAAUGCUCAUGAGCUUCUCUGAACUUCUCCACAUUCGUACUAGCACUGGCUGCUCCACCUUGCUGUUCAUGGUCAAACAACAGUUCAAAUCCAUGAAAUGCACCCAAGGCCUGUCAUCCUGAUUUUUGAAUAUCUGCAACAAUUUUAAAGUAAUGUCGUUGAAAACUGUGUUUGUUCUCCAUAAAUAUGUAUGUUACGAGGCUGUCAAAUAAGUAACUCCAUCUGUGAGAACGGUGAGGGCAUCUAGCUAGUGGCAGUAUCAUCUAUAGUGGUCUGAGAGUGCAGGGUUGGUGCAGUAGAUUAAGAUCGAAACUUCCAGCAUGCACAGAAUACAGGAUGGGGCUUUUGGCUUUACUGAUCUGGAUGGCAUAAUUUUCACAGGAUUUGACGAUAAAACCCUAUUUAAAUAUGAUAAUUAUGUUGUAGGGGGUUUGUUUUAUUGUGAAUUCGUAAAGGUUUCAGCUAGCACUGGUGCACUGAAGCAAUUCCCAUAAAACUAAGUAGAAUCCAGAAAUUGAGUUUCGUUCCCUGUUCCUGGAUAGUCAUCGUAGGUAGGAUUUUGUGUCUAUUUGCAUCGGGUGCUAUAAAUAGCAUACUCUAUGGUCACGUGUGCUGAUACUAAUUUGAGUUUAGUAUGUGAAGCAGUGGUAUAUGACCCUGGUCAUUUGAGGGUCCGCUUGGUUCGGCUUUUACAGCCAGCUUCUGCUUUCCCACAGCAGAAUCCCAACCAAAAAUGUUUCCAGCUCCCAGAAUCUGCAAAUGCAGCGACUUUGGCAUACUGUAUUUUUUGCAGCACCUGGAACCCAGCUUCCAUCGCAGUGAGGGCAUUCACGAAAAUUACCCACCUGCCACUCUGUAAGUCCUACUGAUUGGAUUUCUUUUUCCUACAGAGCGUAGCCAUCGGCUCCUCCCCUGAUCAAAUUCUUGCACGAAGAGGCUGCCCGCGCCCCUCCUCUCGGAGUCCCCUGCUGUGCCACCGCCUGCCCGUUCCCACUCGGUGGUAGCUCUCUCCCUCAUUCAAUGCUUCUGUUCAGUUUUUUUUGUCUAAUUUUCUUUGGACAGCAUGUUUCUUUUUUCGAAUUAAGGGCCAACGCUCCCAAUUUCAUUUCAUUCAAAAUGAAACCAAUAACACAUAAAGUCAGUUUUUUGCGGAUUCCUCGAAAAUGAAAGGUUCAGCUGAAAUUAACAUACAUAAACCAGCGCCCAAAUUACAUUGACCAAAGCUAUGGGCAGCACAGUUACCCCAUAUGAUUAAUUAUUGUUUGGUUUGAAUUGUACAUCAAUGCUAUAUUGUCGUACUGAAUAGUACAGCAUGGUUACUUGACAUAGAUGACUGAAUCCUAUUUCUCAUUUCCUAGCAGAUGGAUUAGUCCAGUUCCAGUACAUGUUCAGUGAAGUGCAAGGGGAAGCAGAUGUGGAUGACGCUAUGCAGUCCUAGAUGGGAUAAUUUUGCAGUGUAACUGGGGUUGGUUUUGCAUGGUUCAUGUACCUUGGAUACUCUUGCUCCUUUAGAUUAGUGUUAAGCCUUGAGAUGAUAUUACCUGACAAGCACACUUGAUGGAUGCAGCGAGUUAUGUUUGCAGGUGCCGUCUGUUAGUUUUUUUUUAAUGUAUACUAGUACAUAUGCCUGUGCGUUGCAACGGGAGACUUUUUUUGCGAGAAGCAUCGGAAGAAAUAAUUGAUGUGUCCAUCAAAACGGUCUCCACACAAUAGUGGGGCGAUAGAGCAGAGAGUUGUGGUGUUCUCAUGGGUCAUGUUUGGCCCGUGAGAUCUUUAUAGUAAUGGGGUUGGUAGGAGUGGUGGCCACUAUUCAAUUCGUGCAUUUUUUUCCUUCAGGUCCGCCUCCUUGUCGAGGUUGUGGUGACCUGAUAUUUUUUAGAACAUGUGAGAAUUUUUUUUCUCAAUAAAAGUAUAAUUUGAAGAAUAAGGAAAACAAAAUUUGAAAUAGAAAGAUUUUUUUAAAUUCACAAAAACUUUUUGAAAACAUGACCAUUUUUAAGUCAGAGAAACGAGCAUUUUCUGAAUUUAUGAACAAUUUUUUAAAAUUGGAACUUGUUUUGAACAUUCAAAUCUAUUUUCAAAAAUGUUCUUUUAAUCACGAACAUUAUUUUGAAUUUAUGAACAUUUCGAUAAAAUGAAUAUUUUUCGAAUUAUUAUUGUUUUUUAAAUGAAAUUUAUUUUAGAAAUCUAGAAAAAAUUACAAUUUUUUUUAAAUGCGAACUUUUUUUAUUUUCCAACAAAUUUAGAAUAAAAAUAAAAAUUUCAAUUUCCAAAUGUUUUUGAAAGUGGGAACAAAUUUUCAAAUUCUAAGAUUUAACAAAAAAUAGUACAAAAACGAAAUUUUGGGAAAUUUAUUAAAUUAAUUUAUGGGAAAAGGAAAAAUUAAAUUGGAAGAGAAAAAAUAAAAAUAGAAAAAGAACACACAGAAAAUAAAAAUGGGCCGGCCCAGCGACCGAUGGGAAGCUCCAACUAUAUGUCGCACUGAGUAAAAAAUAAGGUUUCCCAGCUGCGUGCGCAGGAUAUAUAUGAGUGGCUUUUCUGGGCCUUAGUGCGCGCGGCCGACGUACGAAAUUCCGGACAAAACUUUUUAUUUUUUAGCAGAUGGAGCACGAAAAUUUAGUACCACCUCGGAUAUAAGAAAAAUAUUUUUUAUAGUGAACGGAUGAAAAAAUUGGAGAAACGCACCACGCACUCCCCGCACCUCACCGCACACCCUAGCCCCGAGUUCGUCUCCACCCGAACUCCGGCGGCCGCCUAGGUCGUCGCCGGCGCCGACUCCGGCCACCCCGACCCCAACUAACUCCACCAAGAGCUGCGGUUCAUCCCUAGCUCCACUUAGAUGCCUUCCGCGCCUCAUUUGGUGGCCGGAACGGCCAAAACCACUUCCGCCGCCGCGUCGGGCUCGUCGGCGGUUAGACGCCGGCGUGUUUGACCUGACUUUGACCACGGGUGGGCCCUGGUUGACUCUGUUGAGUCAAUGACAAGUGGGGCCCCCUCUGCUAAUUAACCCCGAUUAGUUUAAACUAAUUUUAGUUAGUUAAUUAAACUACUGACAUGCGGGACCCACUGGUUAGUUUGACCUGGACCGUUCUGUUGACUUGCUGAGGUCAGCAUGACCUCAUGCUGACGUAGUAAUCCUUUUCUGGAAUUAAAAUAAAUCCAGAAUGAUUUAUAAAUUCCAGAAAAUAACCCAAACUUCAAAAAAUCAUAGAAAUUAAUCUGUAACUCCAAAUGCAAAGUUUUAUAUAUGAAAAAUGAUCAGAAAAAUCCAAUCUAUCCAUCUGUACUGGUUUCAUGCAUGUUUAAACAAGCUAACUUGAUAUUUAGGGCAGAACAAGAAAAAGCACUUUAAAGGGCCAUUUAUGAGUUUGAAAAUUGAAUCUUUGGUUCAAAUUGGUUCAAACCCAUCUGGUCUUAUUUGCAUUAGCCCAACACACUCAUAUUGCCAUGUUACAUGCAUGCAUCAUAUUGUCGCACAUUGUUUGGUGAUGGUUGUGUAUCGGUGUUCUUUGCGGCAGGUUCUGCCUCCGAGGAGUACCGUGAUUACCCUAACGAAGAACAAUAUCAGUGCAUCGACCCAUCAUGCAAGCAACCAACCAUUUGAUCAUAUCGAUACAAUCCCAUGUUCUCGCUCCUGCUCUCUUUUACUACAUUAAGACAACACGUUUCAAACUGCUGUGUGCUACGGUAGUUGAACCCAUUUCCUCUGCAUUACCUGUCAUUGCCACAGUAACUAGAUGAAACCCACUAGCAUAUGUAGGAGUUGAUUGAGCCAUGUGUGUGUGAUGUUCCUACCUUGCUAUGCCUGCUAUGCUUAGAGUCGUGUCAGGUCUGGUUCAUCUGGGUGAUGGUCUAGAGUGAAAUGAUCAUGCCGGUAAUGAGAGUGAUGUGGUGAACACGAUUUGGUAAAGGUAUCGAUGAGAGGCCAUGUAGGAGUACAUGGUGGGUUGUUUCAUUGAAGCCGACCUUAAGCACUGAGAUCUGUAUGUGUGAUUUAAGAUACAGCUACUACCAUGCAUUGGGCCCUGAAAUAUGACCCCGCUCGACUUCUUAUUCACUUUAGUCCUCUGUCCGGGAGUUGCAAGUAGUUUCUAGUGUUUGUAGCCUACUGGAGGCCGUGGACAGCGCUGACCAUAGGGGUGGGCUGUGAUGCGGUAGGUACGUGGCACGGUGUACCGGAUACCCGUUAGGUAUCUCGGGAACCCUGUACACAUCGUUCGGGGCCGUAUGGGAAACCUCGGCCGGACUCCCUGCGGAUGGAACCUGGAUAGGCGAUAAACCUGGACUAGAGACUUAGGUGUUUAGGUAGGUCGUGGUCUACACCCACGUCGGCUUUCGCUUGAAGUCUGCCGAGCACAUGUCGUGUGCAGACGCUAAGUGGUGGAAACAUGUAUGAAGAAUUACACCCCUGCAGGGUUAACAUAAUCUAUUCGAAUAGCCGCGUCCGCCGUAAAGGACUACUUGGUUGCCUAUACAGUUCAUAGACAAGUAAAUGGAUACUGCUAAAAAUCUCAAGAUAAGCGUGAGUGCCGAGGAUGGCUCUUCUGUAGGAUGGCGGAGGUGGAUCCUCGGGGGUGUAUUGAAGUGGUGAGUAGCGGACUCGUGUGCGCAAAACCAUUUCAAGUUGGUGUAUCGUAGGAUAGCUUAGCCAAGAGUCAAAGCUGGCUUGCUGCAAUAACCCCACCAACCCUUCUUGAUAAUAUGCAUGUAUGUAGGAUCUGAUGUAAGUCUUGCUGGAUACCUUUGUACUCAUGUUGCUAUAAUUUACAUUUUUCAGAAGACGAUGCAACCCCUUCUGAUGGGUUCUUCAUAGACAUUGACAUCGAUGAGUAGACUGAGGCCCAGGUGGUGAUCCUGAGCUUGUAAAGGACUACGUAGUAUAGACAGGCUUUCUCAAGCCCCUUUUAUUUCACUAGUUGUCUGUACUGAGACAAGAUACUUUCGCUGUUGGCUUGUAUGUCUGUAUGACUUGAAUGCUGGGUCUUAUGACCCGUACUUGUGUGUAUGCUAUGUAUGGCUCUCUGAGCCUUAAAUAAAGUACUUGUGUUGUAGAGUCAUGUUGUGAUGCCUUGUUGUAUUUGCACAUAUCAAGCAUAUUGUGUGUAUGAUUGAAAUGCUUGGUAUGUGUGGGAUCUGACUAUCUAGUUGUUUAUUCUUAGUAGCCUCUCUUACCGGGAAAUGUCUCCUAGUGUCUCCACUGAGCCUUGGUAGCUUGCUACUGCUCCGGAACACUUAGGCUGGCCGACAUGUGUCCUUCUUCGUUCCUAUGUCUGUCCCUUCGGGGAAAUGUCACGCGAUGGAUACCGGAGUCCUGUUAGCCCGCUACAGCCCAGUUUACCGGAGUCCUGCUAGCCCAGUGCUACAGCCCGGGUCCACUUGCUGCUGACCGACACGUUCGAUGCUGGGUCAUGGAUGCCUGUCCCUGUAAGUCUGUGCCACUUUAGGUUUACGACUAGCCAUGUUAGCCCGGGCUCUUUACCAUAUGGAUGCUAGCGACUCUAUCAUAUACGUGUGCCAAAAGGCGCAAACGGUCCCGGGCAAAGGUAAGAUGACACCCGUGCCGACGCCGUUCGCUGCGGCCACAGCCAGCCCCUCGCUCCCUCUCCGCAUCCCUGAGCUCCGUCCCGACCCCGUGGAGCUACACACCCGACGCACGCGACCAGAGGAGGCCCCAGUUGACCGGAGCGUCGUCGUCUUCAUCUCCGGUGCCCGGAGAUCGCCGCCAUCAAUUCGCCGUCGCAGAAGCUUCCCCGAGCUCGCCGACCCCUCCGUUCGAUCCACUGUGAGCCCCGCCGCCUUUUCCCCUCCUCCUAGAGCUCGUUCCCGCCCUCUAGCCGCCUCUUCCGCCGUGCCCGAAUCUCGCCGCCGCCGUGCCAUGUUGUUGCCGCGGCCAGAGCUGCCUCCGCCCGUUUUUGAGCGUGUCGUCAUUCUCACCGUGCUCCCAGGAGCUGAACGCAUGCACCAACUCCUCCUGCCGUGCUCCCUAACACCGACCCCGAGCUCGCCCGAGCUCCGGCGGCCGCCGAGGUCGACGCCGUGCUCAACUCCGGCCACCUCGCGGCCUCCCAUCCGUUCCUUUGGAUGCGGACGAGCAAGAGCUCCUCCCUAGUGCCCCAGCACGCCAAACCACCGCUCGUAGCGCCAAACCCGCCACCACCCGAACUCCGGCCGCCGCACUGCUCGCCGCCGUCGACUCAGACCACCCCAGCUUCUCCCACUUGCACUACCAGAUGCGCGCGACCCCCAGCUAUGCGUAGCACCAAACCGCCGUCCAAAUGGUCGCCUGUGUGCGAAACCCGACGCGCUCCGCCGCCACUGACCUCGCCGGUGACGAGCCGUCGGCCUAAUCCCAGUUUAGUUAGCACUAAUGACCCCGUAACCCCCCCCCCCAGAGCCACUGCCAUGUGGGCCCCCGUGCCUGUUUAGGUUAGUUUAAUUUCUGUUUAGGUUAGUGUUAACCCAGCGGACCCCACGUGUCAGCUUUGACUUUGACCAAGUCAGCGUUGACCUGGUCCCACAUGUCAUCCACCCAAACCAGCCCUGUUACACUGACCCGUGGGUACCAGUCAUCAGGUUUGACCUGGGCUGGCGCCUUUGACCUGCUGACGUCACUAUGAGGUCAUGCUGACGCAAUAAUUCCUUUCUGGAAUUUAAAUAAAUCUUAAAUGAUUUAUUAUUUUCAGAAAAUGUUUAAAACUUGUAAAAUUCAUAUAAAAUCAACCGUAACUCCAAAUGAACCAAAUUAUAUAUGAAAAAUGAUCAGAAAAAUCCAAUCUAUCCAUCUGUACCAUUUCCAUGCAUGUUGGAACAACUUAUGGCUACUGUUUAGGACAAUUCAAUUAAUGGCAUUUAAAUAACCACAUGUGGAGUUUGAAUUUGAAUCUUGGAUUCAAACCAACUUCAUUUAAUCUGGUUUUAGAUGCAUUAGCACAAACCACAGCAUAUUGCCAUGUCACAUUCAUGCAUCAUAUUGUGCAUUGCAUUGAUUGUGUUUCCUUCUCUGUUGCCGGUAUUUGUCCCCUCUCGGUAGGCGUAUCUCGAUGAUGAGUUCGAUGACACCAAUGAAGAACUAUAUUAUCUUCAGAAGUGCCAGGCAAGCAAAACCCCCUUGUUCAUUUCGAUAAAAUCCCACUCUCUCUCUCCUGCUCUCUUUUACUGCAUUAGGACAACAACGAUUCAUCUGUUACUUGAUGCGGUAGCUGAACCCCUUUAUCCUCUGCAUGACCUGUCAUUGCCACAGUAAAUAGAUGAAACCCACUAGCAUGAGUAGGAGUUGUUUGAGCCCUGAUGUGCCUACUCAUUCAUGCUUGUUUGUCAUGCCUGCUAUUGCUUAGAGUUGUGUCAGGUCUGAUUCAUCAGGGAUGAAUCAGAGGUGUGUGAACAUGUCCUACUAUUGAAAGCUAAGUGUGUGAACACGAUUUGGUAAAGGUAGCGGUGAGAGGCCAUGUAGGAGUACAUGGUGGGUUGUCUCAUUGCAGCCAUCCUCAGGAACUGAGUUCUGUGUUUGUGAUCCAUGAUCAGUUACUACCACACAUUGGGCUCCGGGCGCUCCAAGCUCUCUCGACUUAUUAAUCAACUUGAUCUCUGUCCAGGAGUUGCAACUAGUUUCUGGUGUUUGUAGGUAGUGUUAUUAGUCUACCAAGUGGCACCCGGUACAAGUGGGCUUGGGACAGACUAGGCACAGUGGCCCGGUGUACCAAGUGGCACCCGGAUGGUGGGCUUGGGAACCCUGCACACAUCGUUUGGGGCCGUGAGCGACACCCCGGCCGGAUCUCCUUGCGGAUGGAACCCGAAUAGGCGAUAAACCUGGACGAGAGACUUGUGUGGUUAGUCAGGUCGUGGCCGACACCCUCGCUGGGCUUCCGCUUGAAGGUUGCCGAGUACAUGUCGUGUAAACGGCGGUAAGCGGUGAGAGCGUGUGCGAAGAAGUACACCCCUGUAGGGUUAACAUCAUCUAUUCGAAUAGCCGUGUCCGCGGAAAAGGACUUCUGGGUUGCCUGUACAGUUCAUAGACAAGUGAAAUUGGAUACCCUAAAAUGCGCAAGAUAAGCAUGAGUGCUAUGGAUGGCGUUCUCGUAGGGAGACGGGAGCGGAUCCAUAGUGGUGUAUUGAUAUGGUGAAUAUGUGGACUCGUGUGCGCCACCUCAAAAGAGUUACUUGCAGUCAUAGUUCAGGAUAGCCACCGAGUCAAAGCUGGCUUGCUGCAGUUAAACCCCACCAUCCCCUUGUUGAUAAUGAUGCAUAUGUAGUUAGAUCUGAUGUAAGUCUUGCUGGGUACAUUUGUACUCACAUUGCUUAAUUUAUGUUUUUGCAGAGAGACUUCAGUCUCACUAGUAGAUCCACGUGGACUUCAACGUUUAGCUUGUUACCUCAGCUACGAUCUUGUGCCCUCGGCAGGAUCUGGUAGAUAGUCAGGCUUCUCAGCCUUUUUCAUUUGUAGAUGUCUGUACCGAGACAUGUUUAGCUUCUGCAUGUGCUUUGACUUGUAUGCUCUGAGUGUUGGGUCAUGAGACCCAUGUUUGUAAUAUCUCGCUCCUCGGAGCCUAUUGAAUAAAUACUUGAGUCGUAGAGUCAUGUUGUGAUGCCAUGUUGUAUUUGCACAUAUCGAGCAUAUUGUGUGUAUGUUAUUGAAAUGCUUGGUAUGUGUGGGAUCUGACUAUCUAGUUGUUUAUCCUUAGUAGCCUCUCUUACCGGGAAAUGUCUCCUAGUGUUUCCACUGAGCCAUGGUAGCUUGCUACUGCUCCGGAACACUUAGGCUGGCCGGCAUGUGUCCUUCUUCGUUCCUGUGUCUGUCCCUUCGGGGAAAUGUCACGCGAUGAAUACGGGAGUCCUGUUAGCCCGCUAUAGCCCGAUUCACCGGAGUCCUACUAGCCCAGUGCUACAGCCUGGAUUCACUCGCUGAUGACCGACACGUUCGAUGCUGGGUCAUGGAUGCCUGUCCCUGUAAGUUAGUGCCACUUUGGGUUCACGACUAGCCAUGUCAGCCCGGGUUCUUUGUCAUAUGGAUGCUAGCGGCACUAUAAUAUACGUGAGCCAAAAGACGCAAAUGGCCCCGGGCCAGGUAAGGUGGCACCCGUGGGAAUACCGUGCGUGAGGCCGCAAAGUGAUAUGAUGUGUUACAUGCUAGAUCGGUGUGACUCAGGAUCGGGGUCCUGACAGCUUUGGUAUCAGAGCCUGACUGCCUGUAGGAUUACCAAGCCAAACUGGUCGAAGUUGAGUCUAGAAAUGCUUUAGUUAUAUAAGGGAAUUGAUUGUGGGAUGGAACGUAAGGCUCUUUUUACUCCUUAUACCUUAUGCCUUCUGAUCUGAGUCAUCUUAACUUUCCUGCGGGGUUAAGGAACUAGGCUUUCUCAUCUUUCUAUCAGGAUCACGUGUUACUAAUCCGUAGACUUAUAAGAUUGGUGAUUCAAGCCUCAGUUCAGCUUCUACUACCUCUGUAUGUUAACUGUUGAUCUCGAAACCUUGAUAUUGUGCCUCUGAGUGGCUAUGCCACCAUUUUUGUAGCAUGUAUCCAAUCUUUCAAGCAUUUACAGUCGUUAUGCUGCCCGAGUCAUCCCAGGUUUCUAAACAGUCUGAUGCAUUUGCAAAUCCCUUCCUCCCGUUCCUGAUGUCCUUUUGGGCCAGAUUAAGCACACUAAUCAGUGAGUUGAGGUACUCUAUUGCCUCGACGUAUAUGUUGGAGUUAUUAUUAUGACCCUAGGUACCUAGAGUAUCACCUAGUAAUCCAGCCAUGCUUUGUGUUCCCAGUGUGAUGAUUCUGGCCAUCAUUCUUGAAAGCAUCCCAUGAUGCCACCUAGUUAGUAGGCAUUCUACUCCUGGGUUUUGAACCCAAGAUUCACCCUACUUCAUGUUGUUAGUAUUUGCUAGUUCCUUUAAGAUAUUAGUAACCUUUGCGAUAGUCCUCGAGGUCCAUGGUAUUUCCUUCUUCCAAUACCAUGAACUAUUUAUGGCAGAAGUUCCUCGUUGAACCGAAAGAUCACAACCAGAGUGCUCUUGAUGAGUUCUCCAUUCUAUAUUGUGACUCUGCCAGUUCAACCUUUCUGCAUGGGUUAUCCGGAAGAAAUAUGUUGAACUCGUUCGACAUGCUAGUCCAUGCAUCCACAACUCAGAAAAUCAUAUGUUUGUUUGGGUUGUCCCUCCUUAGUUGUUUUCUGACCUUCGUCUAUCAGUCGAUAGUCAAGAGUAUGUGUGCAUUCGUUCAUCAAUGCCUAUUACUCUUGUGGGUCAUCAACCAUUCUAUUCCAGAAUGACUAGGAGAAACAAACUCCAGUACCUCAUCCCUAUCCAAGAUUGGGUCAAAGCAGUUGUGCUCCGCAGAUCAAAUACUAAUCCAGCUUUUGUUCUGCUCCACCUUGGAGUAUUACCAUCUUUAUAUCAAUAAUAUCAUGGGAAUUGCACACCAUCCUAUGAACUCUUGAUACAGUGAUACUCUCUCCAUCAUUAUUCAUUUCUCGGUUCCCGUGUUGUUGCAACCGGACUGCUGACAAGUGAAUCAUGAUGUGUGAAACCUAUACGCCUAGCAACUCCGUUGCUUGGUAGUUAAAUGGACAACAACCUCAUUCUUAGCGUGCUGAUUAUUGAAUUAUCAUUAUAAGACUAAUCGUGCUACCUAGCCCUUAUUUCCGGUGCACCCUUCGAUCAAUGAGUUAGGAUUGUGCCAAUCCCUCGCUCUUUUGAUCAUAUCAUCUUGCCCUGAAAAGCAAGAUUGUUCUCGAUCUUAGUAACAUAUCGGUGGUUCAUGAUUUUCCGAAUAUCUUCUCGGUAGUAUCACCAGGUUGUCACCUGACCGCUAUGUUGAGUUCGUGAUCAAGUUGGUUUAUUCCUGUAAACCACCCUUUCUCCAAGAAUCCGUGUUGGAUACCCUGAGCUAGUUGGAUAAACUAAACAACAACUUGGAGAGUUGGAAGAUAAAAGCUUCUCUGACUCAGUUCAUUCCAAAGGGAUAUCCUGGUGUUGGUGUGUUUUGAAGAAAGAUGAUAUCUUCAUUGGUUGAUCCUCAUGGUCAAUUGCUGGACCUAUCGUCCUAACCAAAACUUUGGUUUGAGUGUGGGCUAUCCUCAAAUCAAAUCAGAACCAACGAUGUUCGUAAUGUUGUCUUACUCGUGGUUGAUUCCUCGAGCAUACACCAUUAUGUCUUUUGGGUCUGACCAAUACUAUCACCUUGUUCACAUAAUUAUGGAAUUCCAUUUAUAUGGAAAUCUCAAUAAAUUGUUGUUGAGUCCAUUGACAACAUCCCUAUCUCCUCCAUGAUUUUGUUGAACAAUAAGCUAGUGUUGGAAACUUGUAUAAGCAUUUUCUUCAUGCCCCGUUCAUGAAGUAUAUGUUGGAUGAAAGAAGUGACUUCCUUUGAUUCACGUGCAUUUGAUGUAAGUUGCCGCCGUGAAUUCGAGAAAGUUUGUUUUUGCGUCCUUUGGAAUCAUCCCAAGUUAUUCAUGCAUACGUGCAAAGUAUUCUGUGGUGUGGAGACUUGCAACCUUCAUUCUAUAUGUGUCCCUAGCACACCAAGCCACUGACUGAUUUGUUCCAGGAAAAGGAAUUCCUUCAUAAGAGCUAACCCGGUCUUAUACAAGGACUUCGUUAUCCGCAAUGAUGGUUUCCCACCAGAACUCGGUAGUGUUUUAUUGUAAGACUACCAUGUGAUCAUGUUUGUCUGGGACAGCGUGUUCACACGUGUGUAGCAGAACCAGCUCAUGUUUUGGAGCUUGCUAUCGUAGUUCAUCUCCCGAGAAUCUCGCAACGUCAUCUCGUCGAUUUGUGUUGCAAACUUUCAUUUUUCUUCCUAGACUUGAUGAGUCUGGAUUAUUCUAACACCAACCAGAUCUGAAUCUCAGGAAGAUAUGAUGGUUGGAACAUUUCCCAAGAACUAUAAUAAUGGUCUCUCGGUAACCCGGUAAAGUGGAUGUCGUGGCCAACACACCCAACCAGAAGACCUCUUGUUGUAGUAUCUUGAUUGAGGAAGUUGGCCACCUCCCCAUAAGGAUUUCGUAGGAUCUACUCCCUAGUUGUUCCUUAUGGAUUUUUGUGUUCCCGAAGUCCGACCUUUUACUUGAUGUCUAAAUAUCAACCAUAAUUAUCUAUGGAUUACGCUAACACAUCAAGGAGAACAUUAGAAGCGGAGUGCUAAAUGUCUCUCGGUCGAUCAUCCAGAUUUUGUUUCCUUGGCCUUGCUAAGGUGAAAUUUGAGAAGUGUUAUCCUCCUUUGCAUCUGCAUCAUCCAUUGUUGUUCAUCAUGGUAGUAUGAUGUGUUGCCAGGAUCCUUGACUCGGAUAUUGGUAAAACCUUGAUGAAUAUGGAAAUGCUCAAGUUUUUGAGAACACGCGCAAGCAAAAUCAUUCCUUGUGUUGUUCUCAACAAGGUAAUCCACAUCAUCCAUUCUAAUCCGAGUAUGCCAUUCUACCGAACUCCUCCAAACGAUCGCUCGAGAUUUGCCCUAGGCUGGUAUAGAGAGUCUCAAUGAUCUCUAUAUCAAAGGUAUUUCUUUUUGCCACUUAAGGUAAUAAUCUACGAAUCACCCUCCUCCAGGAUGUUCCGCUGUGGCAUCAUGGCAACUCAACUCCUCACUAUGUUGACAACCGUUCACCACCCUUUUAAGCGUGGAAUUGUUGUCUACCUAGUGAACCCUCUUCAUCUGUUCCACUCCAUCCCUCUAGAUGUGUGCCUCGUGACUCAGCUCGAGAGAGGUUGCUAUGUCUCAUUCCAUGAGUUAAUCCUGAGUUGUUCGAUCUUCGAGAAGAUUAAUUCUUCUAGAGUUUUCCUUUCCUCUUCUUGACAUGUUAGUUGGAGUUCUUAGAGCAAGACGACGAGACAAAGAUGGUGAUCGAAUCAACGCCCCUAUGAAGUGCAACCUGGAUCGUGAAGAUUGUGUUAGUUUGCAUCCCCCUUCAUCUUACCUCACGUCUCGAAUCUCGGGACGAGAUUCUUGUUUAGUGGGGGCGAGUUGUCACAUCCCUAGCUUCUGGUGCUGCCUAGUGUUUGCAUCUUGCUAGCAUCAUGUUUAAAUAAAAGUUGGGCAAAAACCCUAAAAUCUCAUUCAUUGUUUCCAAAAUGCUCUUCAUAGAUGUUUAAUAUUUUGGCAAGGGUUUUGAUCCAAACCAAAAAGAAUGAACAUUUUAAAAGGAUUUAUUUUGGGACUUUGAAUUUAAAUCAUUAGCUAUUUGAAUUUGAAUUAUGUUCAUAUAAUUAGAAUAUAAUUUCAAAUACCCCUGAAAUUUUUUUAUGAGCUUUUGGAAAAGUCCAUCCAGCAAAAUAAAAAUAUUCAGAGGAGUUUUUGGCAUUGUUUGAAUUGUUUUAAAUUCAAAAUAGUGGAAAAAACAGAAACAGAAAAACAAUAAAAGAGCAGAAGACCUACCUGUCGCUUACCUGGACCUACCUGGCGGCCCAGCUGCGGCCCAGCACUGCUGGCCCAGCCCAGCAGUCGCCCCCACCGUCUUCAACCUCCUGCCAGUAGGCAGGAGGGCGUGUGGUCGCCGCGCGUGGGCACGCGCGCGCCACCUCCUGCUUCACACCGCUGCCCCGACGCGUCUGGACGACGCCACGCACCCCUUCUGGAACCCCUCGCUCACUCUCUCGUCCCCAUCCUCUCCUCUGCUCUCUCUCUCCCUCUCUGCCCGAGCGGAGCUCGUCGCCACCGACGCCGUUCGCCGCGGCCACAGCCACCCCCUCGCUCCCUCUCCGCAUCCCUGAGCUCCGUCCCGACCCCGUGGAGCUACACACCCGACGCACGCGACCAGAGGAGGCCCCAGUCGACCGGAGCGUCGUCGUCUUCAUCUCCGGUGCCCGGAGAUCGCCGCCGUCAAUUCGCCGUCGCAGAAGCUUCCCCGAGCUCGCCGACCCCUCCGUUCGAUCCACUGUGAGCCCCGCCGCCUUUUCCCCUCCUCCUAGAGCUCGUUCCCGCCCUCUAGCCGCCUCUUCCGCCGUGCCCGAAUCUCACCGCCGCCGUGCCAUGUCGCUGCCGCGGCCAGAGCUGCCUCCGGCCGUUUUUGAGCGUGUCGCCGUUCUCACCGUGCUCCCAGGAGCCGAACGCAUGCACCAGCUCCUCCUGCCGUGCUCCCUAACACCGACCCCGAGCUCGCCCGAGCUCCGGCCGCUGCCGAGGUGGACGCUGUGCUCAACUCCGGCCACCUCGCGGCCUCCCGUCCGUUCCUUUGGAUGCGGACAAGCAAGAGCUCCUCCCUAGUGCCCCCAGCGCGCCAAACCACCGCCCGUAGCGCCAAACCCGCCACCACCCGAACUCCAGCCGCUGCACUCGUGCUCGCCGCCGUCGACUCAGACCACCCCAGCUUCUCCCACUUGCACUACCAUAUGCGCGCGACCCCCAGCUACGCGUAGCACCAAACCGCCGUCCAAAUGGUCGCCUGUGUGCGAAACCCGACGCGCUCCGCCGCCACUGACCUCGCCGGUGACGAGCCGUCGGCCUAAUCCCAGUUUAGUUAGCACUAAUGACCCCGUAACCCCCCCCCAGAGCCACUGCCAUGUGGGCCCCCGUGCCUGUUUAGGUUAGUUUAAUUUCUGUUUAGGUUAGUGUUAACCCAGCGGACCCCACGUGUCAGCUUUGACUUUGACCAAGUCAGCGUUGACCUGGUCCCACAUGUCAUCCACCCAAACCAGCCCUGUUACACUGACCCGUGGGUACCAGUCGUCAGGUUUGACCUGGGCUGGCGCCUUUGACCUGCUGACGUCACUAUGAGGUCAUGCUGACGCAAUAAUUCCUUUCUGGAAUUUAAAUAAAUCUUAAAUGAUUUAUUAUUUUCAGAAAAUGUUUAAAACUUGUAAAAUUCAUAUAAAAUCAACCGUAACUCCAAAUGAACCAAAUUAUAUAUGAAAAAUGAUCAGAAAAAUCCAAUCUAUCCAUCUGUACCAUUUCCAUGCAUGUUGGAACAACUUAUGGCUACUGUUUAGGACAAUUCAAUUAAUGGCAUUUAAAUAACCACAUGUGGAGUUUGAAUUUGAAUCUUGGAUUCAAACCAACUUCAUUUAAUCUGGUUUUAGAUGCAUUAGCACAAACCACAGCAUAUUGCCAUGUCACAUUCAUGCAUCAUAUUGUGCAUUGCAUUGAUUGUGUUUCCUUCUCUGUUGCCGGUAUUUGUCCCCUCUCGGUAGGCGUAUCUCGAUGAUGAGUUCGAUGACACCAAUGAAGAACUAUAUUAUCUUCAGAAGUGCCAGGCAAGCAAAACCCCCUUGUUCAUUUCGAUAAAAUCCCACUCUCUCUCCUGCUCUCUUUUACUGCAUUAGGACAACAACGAUUCAUCUGUUACUUGAUGCGGUAGCUGAACCCCUUUAUCCUCUGCAUGACCUGUCAUUGCCACAGUAAAUAGAUGAAACCCACUAGCAUGAGUAGGAGUUGUUUGAGCCCUGAUGUGCCUACUCAUUCAUGCUUGUUUGUCAUGCCUGCUAUUGCUUAGAGUUGUGUCAGGUCUGACUCAUCAGGGAUGAAUCAGAGGUGUGUGAACAUGUCCUACUAUUGAAAGCUAAGUGUGUGAACACGAUUUGGUAAAGGUAGCGGUGAGAGGCCAUGUAGGAGUACAUGGUGGGUUGUCUCAUUGCAGCCGUCCUCAGGAACUGAGUUCUGUGUUUGUGAUCCAUGAUCAGUUACUACCACACAUUGGGCUCCGGGCGCUCCAAGCUCUCUCGACUUAUUAAUCAACUUGAUCUCUGUCCAGGAGUUGCAACUAGUUUCUGGUGUUUGUAGGUAGUGUUAUUAGUCUACCAAGUGGCACCCGGUACAAGUGGGCUUGGGACAGACUAGGCACAGUGGCCCGGUGUACCAAGUGGCACCCGGAUGGUGGGCUUGGGAACCCUGCACACAUCGUUUGGGGCCGUGAGCGACACCCCGGCCGGAUCUCCUUGCGGAUGGAACCCGAAUAGGCGAUAAACCUAGACGAGAGACUUGUGUGGUUAGUCAGGUCGUGGCCGACACCCUCGCUGGGCUUCCGCUUGAAGGUUGCCGAGUACAUGUCAUGUAAACGGCGGUAAGUGGUGAGAGCGUGUGUGAAGAAGUACACCCAUGCAGGGUUAACAUCAUCUAUUCGAAUAGCCGUGUCCGCGGAAAAGGACUUCUGGGUUGCCUGUACAGUUCAUAGACAAGUGAAAUUGGAUACCCUAAAAUGCGCAAGAUAAGCGUGAGUGCUAUGGAUGGCGUUCUCGUAGGGAGACGGGAGCGGAUCCAUAGUGGUGUAUUGAUAUGGUGAAUAUGUGGACUCGUGUGCGCCACCUCAAAAGAGUUACUUGCAGUCGUAGUUCAGGAUAGCCACCGAGUCAAAGCUGGCUUGCUGCAGUUAAACCCCACCAUCCCCUUGUUGAUAAUGAUGCAUAUGUAGUUAGAUCUGAUGUAAGUCUUGCUGGGUACAUUUGUACUCACGUUGCUUAAUUUAUGUUUUUGCAGAGAGAUUUCAGUCUCACUAGUAGAUCCACGUGGACUUUGAUGUUUAGCUUGUUACCUCAGCUACGAUCUUGUGCCCUCAGCAGGAUCUGGUAGAUAGUCAGGCUUCUCAGCCUUUUUCAUUUGUAGAUGUAUGUACCCAGACAUGUUUAGCUUCCGCAUGUGCUUUGACUUGUAUGCUCUGAGUGUUGGGUCAUGAGACCCAUGUUUGUAAUAUCUCGCUCCUCGGAGCCUAUUGAAUAAAUACUUGAGUCGUAGAGUCAUGUUGUGAUGCCAUGUUGUAUUUGCACAUAUCGAGCAUAUUGUGUGUAUGUUAUUGAAAUGCUUGGUAUGUGUGGGAUCUGACUAUCUAGUUGUUUAUCCUUAGUAGCCUCUCUUACCGGGAAAUGUCUCCUAGUGUCUCCACUGAGCCAUGGUAGCUUGCUACUGCUCCGGAACACUUAGGCUGGCCGGCAUGUGUCCUUCUUCGUUCCUGUGUCUGUCCCUUCGGGGAAAUGUCACGCGAUGAAUACCGGAGUCCUGUUAGCCCGCUACAGCCCGGUUCACCAGAGUCCUGCUAGCCCAGUGCUAUAGCCUGGAUUCACUCGCUGAUGACCGACAUGUUCGAUGCUGGGUCAUGGAUGCCUGUCCCUGUAAGUUAGUGCCACUUUGGGUUCACGACUAGCCAUGUCAGCCCGGGCUCUUUGUCAUAUGGAUGCUAGCGGCACUAUCAUAUACGUGAGCCAAAAGGCGCAAACGGUCCCGGGCCAGGUAAGGCGACACCCGUGGGGAUACCGUGCGUGAGGCCGCAAAGUGAUAUGAAGUGUUACAUGCUAGAUCAAUGUGGCAUCGAGUCGGGGUCCUGACAGCAUUGGCAUCAGAGCCGGACUGCCUGUAGGUUCUCCAAGCCAAACUGGUCAAUGUUGAGUUUAGAAAUGCUUUAGUUAUAUGUAGGGGAAUUGUUUGUGGGAUGGAAUGUAAGGCUCUUUUUACUCCUUUAUCUCAUGACAUUCUGAUCUGAGUCAGUCCAUUCUUCUACCGGGGGUUAAGGAAUUAGGAUCUCUUCUCUCUAUCAGGUUCACGUGUUACUAAUCAGUAGUACCUUAUAGGUUUGAUGGAUACAAUCCUGGUUCAGCUCUAUUACCCCAUUAUGUUGCUAAGAUGGACCCAGAACCUUGAUAUGAUGUUGUUGAGUGUCUAUGCAAUUCUUUGUCAAAUGCCUCAAAAUCCUUUUUGAGCAUUUACAGCCGUUAUGCUGUCCAAUUUCUGCUAGGAAUCUUAAUGUCUUGUGUUAUCUUGUUCCAGAUGGCGACCCGUCCUCAGAAUCAAGUGGUUCACUUGACUCGAUGCCUAGAUGUACCCAGCCAUACUGCCAUGUUGGUCAGGGUAAUGACUGAGGCUGGAUACCGUUGGUAUCCUGAGUACACGGUCGAAGAGCAAUUCUGAGACUUUAAUCAAAGUCAAUAUCUUUGCACUGUCAGGAUAUUUCCAUCUUAUCCUGGAUCCACCGAGCCCCUUCACUGCUCCUAUGGACUCGGGGUUACUAUUGAGAUGGCUGUGCAGGAUGCUGCCUACUCUAUGAUGACCAUCUUGCGAGUCAGGACUGGUCUAUUUCGGGACUCUGACUUCCGGUAUAUGCCAGCAUCACUUCCAGGAGCACAAGGUUAUCUCCAGGCUAUCUAUGCUGACUCCACUCAGGAGGAUUCACAGAUCCGCACCACUGCUCAGUUGCUUGAAGACAAGGACCGUGAAAAUCGGGCCUUGAGGCUAGAGCUUUUCAAUACUCGUGCCGAUCAUUGGGCCACGUUGACUCGGUUUGCACCGGCCGUGCAAGCGGGAUAUAUGGAUAUGAGAGAUCUCUAUCCUGUGAGAUCUGCUCUGCCAGACGUGAUGGAUUGGCGUGAUGUAGGAGGCAUCACCCCACCUCGUGGUCCCCGCAGGCCACCGUUCAUUGGUCCAAGACCUCAUCCUAGCCCCUAUGGUCCACAACCUCCGCGGGACCGACUGUUUCCGGAUGAUCACGUUGAGCUUCCAGGCUAUGGAGGUGACUUCUAUGAGGACCACUACGGAUCGGUCUGAGUUAGUAGUAGUAUCACUAGUUUCGUACUAGCUGUAUCGUCCACCGUCCUGCGUGACUCGUGGGAUAUGGCCUAGCUUGUACCGCCUUCCGGAGGUGUAGAAAAAUAAUGUAUAGGAGCUCGGAGUGCCUCCGAUGAGAUGUAAUCCUCUUUUCACCAUAGUAGUACUUGGUUUGGUUCUGUACUAAACUUUGUAUGGUGUGUAUGACGAUGGAAUAAAAGAAGCAGUUUCUGUAUCUAUCAUGUCAUACGGAUGAUCGUCUUGCAUUCCGAGUUAUUCCUUACGCUCUACAUUUCUAUGUCAAAUCCUAUCAUUCUGGACUAAAUCAUUGUCUUGUUUACCUAGGAUGGUCAACACGCGCAAUAACCCUGCUCCCAAGAGCAGGCCGAAGGCAGUGAAGUCAGGAAUGCAAACCUGCCUCACCCUCCCUCUCUGGCCGAAGUUAUGCUGGAAGCCGAGAGAAACAAGCGGGAGACUAACCGUUUGUUGGAGCGCAUCGAGCAAAACACGGCACACCAUCAGCGGAAUAACUUGGUGUCACUUAGUGAUUUCAUCAAGUUACAUCCACCCACUUUCCACCACUCCGUCGAGCCUCUCGACGCUGAUGACUGGCUUCGCAGUAUUGCUCACAAACUGCAUUCUGCGCUAGUAGCUGAGGCUGACAAGGUCACCUUUGCUGCAUAUCAUCUUGAAGGCCCCGCCAGUCUAUGGUGGGAGAACUAUGGAGCUAUGCGCCCAGCGGGCCAUGUCACUACUUGGGCUGAAUUCAGCGAGGCUUUCCGUGAACAUCACAUUCCGGAGGGUCUCAUGGACCGUAAACGUGAGGAGUUCUGCAGUUUCACUCAAGGUCGACUCUCUGUGGAUGCUUACAGCAGGGAGUUCGGUAACCUUGCACGAUAUGCAACUGAGGAAGUUUCCACUGAUGCCAAGAAGCAAGCAAGGUUCCGUAAGGGACUUAGUCCUGAGCUUCGCCGCGACCUCCGUUUGCAUGAGUGCACAUCUUUCCAGAAGCUUGUUAACAAAGCCAUCAGUGCUGAGACCGGUCAGACUGACUAUGAGGCAACACGCAAGCAUGGCCGUGAUAUGGGUUCCUCAUCCGGUGCUGGUCCUCAGAAGCGCCGCGUGUGGGUGCCUAACACUGCCCUGCCACCCAGGUUCACACCGAGGCCAUCCUUCCAGACGCCUCGCCCCGCUCAACAGUUUGCACCAACCAAGCCCUAUGGUGGUCCAACCAACAAUACUCCUCCACGUACCAGCUCUGUGACCUGCUUUAAGUGUGGGGAAUCGGGCCAUUAUCUGCAUCAGUGCCCCCAGACCAACCCCAAUCAAUCUGCAAAAGUUGUUGGCCGUGGCAAGCCGACAGGGAAAGUGUUCCACGCUAAGCCGGCCACCGCUGCACGUGGCCAUGUCAUCUGUAUCUCUGCCGAAGAAGCUCAAGAGGAUCCCAACGUCGUUCUUGGUAUGCUCCUUGUUAAUUGCCACCCGGCAUCUGUUCUUUUCGAUACAGGAGCAUCUCAUUCAUUUAUAUCCGAGAGCUAUGCUCGACUGCAUAACACCACAUUCUGUGAGGUGCCCACCUCUAUGGUAAUUCAAACCCCGGGAUCCAAAUGGCAAACUUCUAGAGUAAGCCAUGGGAAUGAAAUUCAAGUCGACAGAGUUGUUUUUCUCGCAUCUUUAAUAGCUCUCAAAUCUUCGGAUAUUAAUAUCAUCUUGGGGAUGGACUGGAUGUCAGCCCAUCAUGCCAAAAUUGAUUGCUUCUCUAGGACUGUUCAACUCACCCAUCCUUCGGGGAAGAUAGUCAAUGUCUUGACCCGAAUAGCCAAGCGACAGCUAUAUUCGCUUAACGCCAGUCCUUUGCCAGACCUUGAGGACGUUCCGGUAGUCCGUGAUUUUCUGGAUGUCUUUCCAGAGGAAUUGCCAGGUGUUCCACCUGACAGGGAUGUUGAGUUCGUAAUAGAUCUCAUUCCAGGAACUGUUCCGAUUGCUAGAAGACCCUAUAAGAUGGCACCACUAGAACUAGCCGAGCUCAAGAAACAACUCGAUGAGUCCUUGAAGAAGGGUUUCAUCCGACCUAGUUCAUCUCCAUGGGCUUGCCCUGUCCUCUUCGUCAAGAAGAAGGAUGGUACGGACCGGAUGGUUGUAGAUUAUCGACCAGUCAACCUGGUCACAAUUAAGAAUAAGUAUUCGCUCCCCAGGAUCAACGACCUGUAUGAUCAGCUCGCUGGAUCCUCAGUCUUCUCUAAAAUGGAUUUGAGGUUGGUCUACCAUCAAAUCAAAAUCCGGAACGGGGACAUUCCUAAAACGGCUUUUGUUACUCGUUAUGGCCAAUACGAGUACACCAUCAUGUCCUUCGGUUUAACCAAUGCCCCAGCCACUAUCUCUCGGUUAAUGAACUCAAUCUUCAUGGAGUAUUUGGAUAAAUUCGUCGUGGUCUACCUCGAUGAUAUACUCAUCUACUCCAAGGACGAGGAAGAACAUGCCGAACAUCUAAGGCUAGUGUUGAUGAAACUUCGAGAGCAUCGCCUUUAUGCCAAAUUUUCAAAAUGCGAAUUUUGGUUGCCAGAAGUGACCUAUCUAGGACAUGUAAUUUCUGGUAAAGGUAUUGCUGUCAAUCCCGAGCGAGUUCAAGCCAUCCUUAACUGGACUCCACCUGAAUUGGUCAAGCAAGUUCGGAGUUUCCUUGGCUUAGCGAGCUAUUGUCGCCGCUUUGUCGAGAACUUCUCCAAAGUUGCAAAACCUCUAACUGAACUCCUCAACAAAGAUAAAAAGUUUGAGUGGACCCCACAAUGUGAGCACAGCUUUCAGGAACUGAAAAGACGCCUGACAUCUGCUCCCGUAUUGGUACCACCAGAUUUCUCUAAGGAUUUUGUUAUCUAUUGCGACGCCUCGCGACAAGGACUAGGUUGCAUUCUCAUGCAAGAUCGACACGUAAUUGCUUACGGUUCACGGCAAUUGCACCCACAUGAGGAGAAUUAUCCUACUCAUGAUCUAGGGCUUGCAGCCGUAGUCUAUACACUUAAAACCUGGCAACAUUACCUCCUCGGUAAUCGUUGCGAAAUUUUCACCGAUCACCAAAGUCUGAAGUACAUCUUCACCCAACCGGAUUUGAAUCUCAGGCAAAGACGUUGGGGCGAGUUGAUCACAGAUUUCGACUUAGGAAUAACUUACACCCCAGGAAAAGCCAACGUCAUGGCUGAUGCGCUAAGUCGUAAAUCUUAUUGUAACAAUCUAAUGUUACAACAAAGUCAACCACUUCUCCAUGAGGAAUUUUGGAAGCUUAACCUUCACAUUGUUCCUCGAGGAUUUCUUUCCACCUUAGUGGCGAAACCUACUCUUACGGAUCAAAUCAUCGCUGCCCAAAAGCGAGAUAAAGGAAUAUCUAGGAUCAAGGAGAACAUUGCUAGCGGAGUUGCUAGAUGUUUCUCCACAAAUGAUCAUGGUGUUGUGUAUUUUGAGAACCGUUUAGUGGUUCCCAAGAACCAGCAUCUACGGCAGUUGAUCAUUAAGGAGGCUCAUGAAUCUCCUCUCACCAUUCAUCCCGGUAGUACCAAGAUGUAUCAGGACCUACGCCAGAGGUUCUGGUGGACUAGGAUGAAGAGAGACAUUGCUCAGUUCGUUGCUAGUUGCGACGUCUGUCGUCGUGUAAAAGCAGAGCAUCAACGGCCUGCUGGCACCCUUCAACCCUUAGCUAUUCCUGAAUGGAAAUGGGAUAAAAUUGGUAUGGAUUUCAUCACCGGAUUUCCCAGGACCAAGAGAGGGAAUAAUGCUAUCUUCGUCGUUGUCGAUCGUCUUUCCAAAGUAGCCCAUUUCUUACCUGUUCGCGAGAGUAUAACCGCUAGUCAAUUAGCCGACUUAUACAUCUCCCGAAUAGUGUCUCUCCAUGGUGUCCCAUUGGAAAUUAACUCGGAUCGAGGAAGUCUUUUCACCUCUCGAUUUUGGGAAAGUUUCCAAAAUGCCAUGGGAACCCGCCUUUCCUUUAGCACUGCUUUUCACCCUCAAUCAAGUGGUCAAGUAGAACAUGUCAACCAGAUUCUAGAAGACAUGCUUCGAGCCUCUGUUAUCUCUUCGGAAUGGAUUGGGAGAAAUGCCUUCCAUUUGCUGAGUUUGCUUAUAACAACAGCUAUCAAAUCUAGCUUGGGCAAAGCCCCUUUUGAAGUUCUCUACGGACGAAGGUGUCGAACGCCUCUUAACUAGUCAGAGACCGGGGAAAGACAAUUCUUUGGCCCGGACAUGAUCCAGGAAGCAGAAGAGCAAGUUCGCAUUGUUCGUGAAAAGUUGAAAACAGCCCAAUUUCGUCAAAAGAGUCAAUACGACCGAAAACAUAAGGCUAUGACUUUUGAGGUUGACGAGAAGGCUUACCUUCGGGUUACUCCUCUGAAGGGAACCCAUCGCUUCGGUAUCAAGGGCAAAUUGGCUCCUCGUUAUAUUGGACCCUUUCGCAUUCUCGCUAAACGAGGAGAAGUUGCCUACCAAUUGGAACUACCUCCGCAUCUCUCCAGAGUCCAUGACGUCUUCCACGUUUCUCAACUCAGGCGUUGCUUCUCGGAUCCUAUCCGUGGAGUGGACCACGAAACGCUUGAUCUUCAAGAUAACCUCACGUAUCGAGAGUACCCCGUUAGUAUCCUCGAUCAAGCCGAGCGUACCACUCGACGUCAUAAUAUCAAGUUUCUCAAGGUUCAAUGGUCGCACCAUUCUGAGAAGGAAGCCACUUGGGAAAGGGAGGAUCGUCUUCGACUCGAGUACCCCGCCUUCUUUCCGGAGGAACCUAAAUCUCGGGACGAGAUUCUUUUGAGUGGGGGUGAGUUGUCACACCCUAGCUAGUUCAUGCAUUAGAGUGUUGCAUCAUGUCUACUCCUUUAUCAGAAAUUUGAAAUGGGGAUGACAGAACCCCCAGCCCCCUCUGAAACAACUAGGGUUUACUAAAAAUAAUUUCAAUGAACCUGAAAUGCCCUUCUAAAAUGUCCAUCAUUUUUGUCUUGGUUCAAAACCUCUGCCAAAAGUGGUGCACAGUUUUCUAGGUCAUCCUAAGGUCUUUGAGUUAAUUCAUAAGUAUUUGAAUUUGGGCAUUUAAAAUUUAUAAAAUAUUUCAAAUGCUCAAAUAUCUCCAAACUAAAAUGUUCCUUGCUGGAAUUAUUCCAACUAAGGACCAGAUGCAGUUUGGUGAUUUUAGGAGUUGUUUAGGUAUGUUUAAUAAUUCAACACACUUACAGAAUAAAAACAAAACCAGAAAAAUAGGAAAACCCUUACCUGGCGCCUACUAACCGGCCCACCUGCCGGCCCAGCCCAGCUGUCGCGCCAGUGAGCUGCUUGGCUCGGCCAGGCAGGCAGGCAGGUGCUCAGCGAUGAGCACCGCAUGGGUGCCACGCACCUGCUCGCCGUCUCGCCGCUCCCCUUGUCAAGCCUCGACGUGGAUCGUUUCCCCUCUCUCCCCCGAACCCCCCAGACACCUCCAUUCUCCCCCAGCUCCUCUCCCUCGCCCUCCCACGCCGUGGCCGACGCCAUCGCCGCCACCCCCUCGCCGUAGCCGCGCUCUUCGUCAACUCCACGCCACACCACUCUGUCCAGGAGCUCCGCCACCCUCCUCUCCUUCGAGCAAGCCGAGCCCCGAGCGCUCGCAUGCCCCGAAGCCACCGCACGGACCUCGCCCGAACCACCAUCGCCGGAGAUCCCCUUCAACGCCGUCGCCGCACCAGCUCGUCUCCGACCGCGUCGUCUGCUCCCACGAGAUCGCCGUGAGCCUGGCUACCCUCUCCCCCUUCCCUUUCUUGCUCUCGUGCACCACCGCAAGCACACGAAGCUCACCCGCACGCACCGCCGUGGAGCUCGUCGCCGACGUGCUCCCGGCCACCCUCCGGCCACCUCUCGGUGUCCAUCGCACUCACCACGCCGCGUAGGCCCUAACCAUGCACUCCCCGCACCUCACCGCACACCCUAGCCCCGAGUUCGUCUCCACCCGAACUCCGGCGGCCGCCUAGGUCGUCGCCGGCGCCGACUCCGGCCACCCUGACCCCAACUAACUCCACCAAGAGCUGCGGUUCAUCCCUAGCUCCACUUAGAUGCCUUCCGCGCCUCAUUUGGUGGCCGGAACGGCCAAAACCACUUCCGCCGCCGCGUCGGGCUCGCGGCGGUUAGACGCCGGCGUGUUUGACCUGACUUUGACCACGGGUGGGCCCUGGUUGACUCUGUUGAGUCAAUGACAGUGGGGCCCCCUCUGCUAAUUAACCCCGAUUAGUUUAAACUAAAUUUAGUUAGUUAAUUAAACUACUAACAUGCGGGACCCACUGGUCAGUUUGACCUGGACCGUUCUGUUGACUUGCUAAGGUCAGCAUGACCUCAUGCUGACGUAGUAAUCCUUUUCUGGAAUUAAAAUAAAUCCAGAAUGAUUUAUAAAUUCCAGAAAAUAACCCAAACUUCAAAAAAUCAUAGAAAUUAAUCUGUAACUCCAAAUGCAAAGUUUUAUAUAUGAAAAAUGAUCAUAAAAAUCCAAUCUAUCCAUCUGUACUGGUUUCAUGCAUGUUUAAACAAGCUAACUUGAUAUUUAGGGCAGAACAAAAAAAAGCACUUUAAAGGGGCAUUUAUGAGUUUGAAAAUUGAAUCUUUGGUUCAAAUUGGUUCAAACCCAUCUGGUCUUAUUUGCAUUAGCCCAACACACUCAUAUUGCCAUGUUACAUGCAUGCAUCAUAUUGUCGCACAUUGUUUGGUGAUGGUUGUGUAUCGGUGUUCUUUGCGGCAGGUUCUGCCUCCGAGGAGUACCGUGAUUACCCUAACGAAGAACAAUAUCAGUGCAUCGACCCAUCAGGCAAGCAACCAACCAUUUGAUCAUAUCGAUACAAUCCCAUGUUCUCGCUCCCGCUCUCUUUUACUGCAUUAAGACAACGCGUUUCAAACUGCUGUGUGCUACGGUAGUUGAACCCAUUUCCUCUGCAUUACCUGUCAUUGCCACAGUAACUAGAUGAAACCCACUAGCAUGUGUAGGAGUUGAUUGAGCCAUGUGUGUGUGAUGUUCCUACCUUGCUAUGCCUGCUAUGCUUAGAGUCGUGUCAGGUCUGGUUCAUCUGGGUGAUGGUCUAGAGUGAAAUGAUCAUGCUGGUAAUGAGAGUGAUGUGGUGAACACGAUUUGGUAAAGGUAUCGAUGAGAGGCCAUGUAGGAGUACAUGGUGGGUUGUUUCAUUGAAGCCGACCUUAAGCACUGAGAUCUGUAUGUGUGAUUUAAGAUACAGCUACUACCAUGCAUUGGGCCCUGAAAUAUGACCCCGCUCGACUUCUUAUUCACUUUAGUCCUCUGUCCGGGAGUUGCAAGUAGUUUCUGGUGUUUGUAGCCUACUGGAGGCCGUGGACAGCGCUGACCGUAGGGGUGGGCUGUGAUGCGGUAGGUACGUGGCACGGUGUACCGGAUACCCGUUAGGUAUCUCGGGAACCCUGUACACAUCGUUCGGGGCCGUAUGGGAAACCUCGGCCGGACUCCCUGCGGAUGGAACUUGGAUAGGCGAUAAACCUGGACUAGAGACUUAGGUGUUUAGGUAGGUCAUGGUCUACACCCACGUCGGCUUUCGCUUGAAGUCUGCCGAGCACAUGUUGUGUGCAGACGCUAAGUGGUGGAAACAUGUAUGAAGAAGUACACCCCUGCAGGGUUAACAUAAUCUAUUCGAAUAGCCACGUCCGCGGUAAAGGACUACUUGGUUGCCUAUACAGUUCAUAGACAAGUAAAUGGAUACUGCUAAAAAUCUCAAGAUAAGCGUGAGUGCCGAGGAUGGCUCUUCCGUAGGAUGGCGGAGGUGGAUCCUCGGGGGUGUAUUGAAGUGGUGAGUAGCGGACUUGUGUGCGCAAAACCAUUUCAAGUUGGUGUAUCGUAGGAUAGCUUAGCCAAGAGUCAAAGCUGGCUUGCUGCAAUAACCCCACCAACCCUUCUUGAUAAUAUGCAUGUAUGUAGGAUCUGAUGUAAGUCUUGCUGGAUACCUUUGUACUCAUGUUGCUAUAAUUUACAUUUUUCAGAAGACGCUGCAACCCCUUCUGAUGGGUUCUUCAUAGACGUUGACAUCGAUGAGUAGACUGAGGCCCAGGUGGUGAUCCUGAGCUUGUGAAGGACUACGUAGUAUAGACAGGCUUUCUCAAGCCCCUUUUAUUUCACUAGUUGUCUGUACUGAGACAAGAUACUUCCGCUGUUGGCUUGUAUGUCUGUAUGACUUGAAUGCUGGGUCUUAUGACCCGUACUUGUGUGUAUGCUAUGUAUGGCUCUCUGAGCCUUAAAUAAAGUACUUGUGUUGUAGAGUCAUGUUGUGAUGCCUUGUUGUAUUUGCACAUAUCGAGCAUAUUGUGUGUAUGAUUAAAAUGCUUGGUAUGUGUGGGAUCUGAUUAUCUAGUUGUUUAUUCUUAGUAGCCUCUCUUACCGAGAAAUGUCUCCUAGUGUCUCCACUGAGCCUUGGUAGCUUGCUACUGCUCCGAAACACUUAAGCUGGCCGGCAUGUGUCCUUCUUCGUUCCUGUGUCUGUCCCUUCGGGGAAAUGUCACGCGAUGGAUACCGGAGUCCUGUUAGCCCGCUACAGCCCGGUUUACCGGAGUCCUGCUAGCCCAGUGCUACAGCCCGGGUCCACUUGCUGCUGACCGACACGUUCGAUGCUGGGUCAUGGAUGUCUGUCCCUGUAAGUCUGUGCCACUUUGGGUUUACGACUAGCCAUGUCAGCCCGGGCUCUUUACCAUAUGGAUGCUAGCGACUCUAUCAUAUACGUGUGCCAAAAGGCGCAAACGGUUCCGGGCAAAGGUAAGACGACACCCGUGGGAAUACCGUGCGUGAGGCCGCAAAGUGAUAUGAAGUGUUACAUGCUAGAUCGAUGUGGCAUCGAGUCGGGGUCCUGACACAGGCGCGUUGGCAGAGGAGCGUUGAGUGCACCACCGCCCCAAAUGAAAAAAUGAACACGGGUGUCCGCGCGGCCGACCCAAAUAGACAAAAAGUGGACAGAACAAGGGUUGGUUUGGGUGGUUGCGUUGGAGUUGCUCUAACACGCAGGGACGAGCGAAAAAACACGCAGGGACGAGCCCCUUAUAUAGAAAAAACACAGGGAUGCGUUGUGGAACAAUAGUGAGAAAAAAGAGAGGAGAAACUCGCGCAUUCUGAGCGAGAGGGGGAGGGGAAUCCCGCAGCACCAAUGUCGACGGCGGCGACGGGAGAGAGUGAGGCGACGCGGCGGAAGAAGAAAAAGCCGAAGCACGUGGAGGUGGGGAUGGCUCAGUCGCAAUCUCCCCAUGCCUCCGAACCCCUCCCUACCGCCCCAUUCCUCCAAACCCCAGCCCAAUCCCCCGCUCCCGGAACCCCAAUCCCGCAAGAGAUGGCGGCGGCGGCGGCGAUGAGGAAGGAGAGGAAGAUUUGUAAGGAGAAGAAGGCGGCCUCGCUGCUCCUUCCCCCAAAAUAUAAUUUGGAGGAGGGGGUGGCUNNNNNNNNNNNNNNNNNNNNNNNNNNNNNNNNNNNNNNNNNNNNNNNNNNNNNNNNNNNNNNNNNNNNNNNNNNNNNNNNNNNNNNNNNNNNNNNNNNNNNNNNNNNNNNNNNNNNNNNNNNNNNNNNNNNNNNNNNNNNNNNNNNNNNNNNNNNNNNNNNNNNNNNNNNNNNNNNNNNNNNNNNNNNNNNNNNNGGCGGCGGCGGCGGCGAUGAGGAAGGAGAGGAAGAUUCGUAAAGAGAAGAAGGCGGCCUCGCUGCUCCUUCCCCCACAAUAUAAUUUGAAGGAGGGGGAGGCGGAGGCCCGGAUGGCGUCGAUGAAGAAGAAGCAAAGGCGGAAGGAGCGCAAGCACGCGGAGAUUAUGCCGUCCUCCGCCGCUAAAACCCCAAUCUUGCAGCAGGAGGAGAAGGUGACAAAGAAACGGAAGAGGAGGAUGGAGCAGGAGCCAUCCGGCAACUCGCCGUUGCCACUUCACCCCGGCGAUGCCUGUAACUCAUUCCUCCAGUCCCCCGCUCCCGAAAUCCUAACGUUGGCAGAGGCGGCGGCGAUGAUGAGGAAGAGGAAUAUGCAUAAAGAGCAGAAUCUUCCUUUUGCCCCAAAUCCUACCUUAGAGGAGCAAGGGGAGAAGGAGAAGAAGGAGCGCAAGCGUGUGGAGCAGAUUUUGCUAUCUCCUUCUACAUCUGUUGCUGCUGAAACCCCGAUUCAGGAGCAGGAGGUGAAUGUGAUAAAGAAACAGAAAAGGAGGAGGGGCCAGGAACCAUCCGGCAAAUCACAGGAGCCAUUAGACAGUUCGCCAUUGCUACUUCACCCCGGACAUGUCUCUGAGCCCCUACUAGCUGCCUCACUCCUUCAGUCCCCCGCUCCCGAAAUCCUAACAUUGGAAGAGGCCACGGUGAUGAUGAGGAAAAGGAAGAUUCAUAAAGAGCAGAAGGUGGAUGCGCUGCCUUUUGCCCAAAAUCCAACCUUAGAGGAGCAUGGGGAGGAUGCCAUGAUGGCGAAGAAGAAGAAAAAGCGCAAGUGCGUGGAGCAGNNNNNNNNNNNNNNNNNNNNNNNNNNNNNNNNNNNNNNNNNNNNNNNNNNNNNNNNNNNNNNNNNNNNNNNNNNNNNNNNNNNNNNNNNNNNNNNNNNNNNNNNNNNNNNNNNNNNNNNNNNGCAACUCGCCAUUGCCACUUCACCCUGGCCAUGCCUCUAAGCCCCUACUCGCUGCGCCAUUCCUUCAGUCGCCCGCUCCCAAAAUUCUUACGUUGGGAGAGGCGGCGGUGGCGGUGACGAUGGGGAAGAGGAAGAUGCGUAAGGAGCAGAAGGUGGAUGCGCUGUCUUUUGCUCAAAAUCCUACACUGGCGGAAGAGCAGGGGGAGGAGGCCAUGACCAUGAUGACUAAAAAGGAGCGCAAGCGUGUAGAGCAGAUACUGUCAUCUCCUACAUCUGUUGCGGCCGAAACCCCAAUCCAGGAGCAGGAGGUGAAGGUGACCAAGAAACAGAAGCAGAGGAGGGGACAUGAACCAUCUGCCAAGUCAACAUUACCACUUGACCGUGGCCAGAGUCGCUGUGUUCAAUCACAUGGAGCCAAAGCUCCACCAAAACAAGAUGGAGAGAAUGAUGGCUGCAAGGGUAUUAAAAAAAGCAAUGGCAAGAAACCCCGUGUCCGUGUCCUCAACAACCGUGAGCUCAUCCAGGAGGCAAGAAAGCAGCCGCAGCCGCUGCCCGAAGGCUUUGUGCCGUUCAGCAAUUUUGUUGCCAGUUGCACAGAGCAGAACGCUGACCAUUCAUCGCCUUGCAGUGCAUUCUUUGACCAGUUUCGCUAUAACCCUGUCUGCGAAGAUCGCAAACCCCCACUUCCCAGAACCCCUGAUCGUCUGACCAGGUUGCCACCUCGAGGUUACUCAUCAUUUGAGUCAUCUCAGCUCGCUGCAAAUGAAGUUUCCAGGCCUGACACCACUCUAGCGUCCAAGACAAAGCAGCAAGAUUCAGGUUCAGGAUCACAAGAGAAAGUUAGUGUAGAAGUAAAGGAAAACCCUGAAAACAAGACGAGGGAGAAGAAGCAAAGGAGACUAUCUGGCAAGUCACGAUUGCCAUUUGACUCCAGCCGGACUUGCUGUGUUCAGCUACAAGGAACCAAAGCUCUACCAGAACAGGACCAAGAAACUGAUGCUCCAAAGGUUAACAAUAUUGAAAAAAGUAACAGCAAGAAGGCCCAUGUCUGUGCUCCCAGCAAAUGCGAACUCUUCAAGGAGAUGACAAAGGAGCAGACGCUGACUGAAGGCUUUUUGGCACCCAAAGAUUUGGUUUCCAAUUGCACUGAGCAGAGUCCCAAUUAUUCAUCGCCUUUUGGUGCAUCCUUUGAUCCGUUCUGCUACAGAUCUGCUCGGCAAGAUCUCAAUCCCCAACCUUCUAGAAGCACUGAUCAUCUACCAUUUGAGUUGUCUGAGCUCACUACGAGUGAAACCUCCAACGCUUUCAAGGCUAACAAUUCUGUGCAGUCCAAGUCAAAGAAGAAAGAUUCAGGUUCAAGCUCCACCUCAGGCUCACAGAAGAAACGAAAUGUAAAAGAAAAGACAACCCCUGAGAAGAAGACGAGGAUCAGGAAACCACGACCAGUGUUUACCACUGCUGAGAAGCGCUCAGACAAAUACCGGCGCGUACCCUUGGACCAGCUGGUACCACCGCCACGCUCUCCUCAUAAUCUCUUGCAGGAGAAGUACGCCUCUGACCCGUGGAAGGUUAUGCUCAUCUGCAUGUUCCUCAACUUAACACAGGGU